CUCGAAGGGCUAGGGUUUCAAAAGAACCCUAUAAGUGAGAAAGGCCUGGAAAAGGGUCUGCUCUAAGCCAGGUGAGCCAGAGAUAGGCUCAUAGGAUCACGACACACUGUAGAUGGCCGUGAAACUUGAAUCGACAACGAUCUGAGCAAAAACCUUCAAGGUCAGACCUUUAAUCCUCUAGUAGCAGGAGCACAAGAGCAGGUGGAGGUGAGUACAGGCUACCCAUGGUUUGACAAUGCCAUGGAUUACGGUAGAGCAUGGUGGAAGACGAUGGAAGAGGGCUAGGUUUUCGAAGGGGCUAGAGAGAGUUUGAGACAAAGAGGGUUUGAA
rnacentral:lncRNA from 1 species